rnacentral:rRNA from 1 species
CAGCACCUCAAGUGGUUAGGAUGAUUAUUGGGCCUAAAGCAUCCGUAGCCGGCUCUGUAAGUUUUCGGUUAAAUCUGUACGCUCAACGUACAGGCUGCCGGGAAUACUGCAGCGCUAGGGAGUGGGAGAGGUAGACGGUACUCGGUAGGAAGGGGUAAAAUCCUUUGAUCUAUUGAUGACCACCUGUGGCGAAGGCGGUCUACCAGAACACGUCCGACGGUGAGGGAUGAAAGCUGGGGGAGCAAACCGGAUUAGAUACCCGAGUAGUCC